AAUCCGAUAAGGGGCUUUUUAGGUUU
rnacentral:tRNA from 9 species